ACCGCUCUACAAUUAUCAAAAUAAAUAAUACUAAACAUGAUAACCUAAUUCAAAGAGUACAAAUACGAGUCAUACGUAUCAACUCUAAAAUGAAACUAAUAUAUUUAUUUCACAAGAAACAAUUAUGUGAAAUCAUAAUAGAAUUCGAAAUAAGGAAACAAACGAACAAAUCAAAUUUAACAAAGGUAUCGCUGAAAGAGUACGGAAUCCGUACCUGAUACUUCCAAACCAUUUAUAGCACACUCCACAAAAUCUUACCCUCAAAUGCCAACGAUAUCAAAUACGAAACGUUAUUCAUCACCUAAACAUAUUCACCUCAAAUUAAAAAUAAUCCAAACUAAUAAUUCUAAAAUAAUUCAUAAUCUAUUUAAUAUGCCUUUAAUCAUCACUUUAUAUCAAUUAUUAAUACUCCAAAAUUUAUAUUCCAAGUAUAACUCUUUAAAUCCCCUUCGUUCGAACUAAUUACACAAAUUAACAAAAAUUAAUAAAUAUCUAUAAGUUAAAUUACUAAUUACAAAUUUACCCACUAACAACAUAAUACUGUUAAAUUUAUU
rnacentral:lncRNA from 1 species